rnacentral:SRP_RNA from 1 species
UUUAGGCAAUGUUGGAGUCAUGAACCGAGUCAGGACCGGAAGGUAGCAGCUAUAAGUGACGAAGACAUGUGCCUUUUUUU